ACAAAUUCUGUCAUAUGAUGGUAUUGUAUUUACAUUAGGUUCCAUUCAGCAGUCGAUUUAAUAUUGUUUCCAUUGUGCGCUCGUCCCUCAGUGGUCGCAACACUGUUACCGUAAGUAUCGCAGGAAUCGGGCACUUCAACUAUAGCGACGAUUUGACCAGGGAAAAGCGAUCGGGGGUUCAUUGGACCGCGGUCUUUGACAGAGGUAAGAAGAAAGUCCUGGUUGUAACAGUGCAAAUAGUUUUACUAAGAUAGUUGUACGUUUAUACUUUUGCACUACACGUAAAUGGAAAAUAUUUUACCACAUUUUAUGUUUUGCAAGUUUAGCUUUAUUAGCGAUUUAUGUAUAAAUUAUAUUGGAGUGAAUUGUAUUGUAUACAUUGUAUAUAUUAUAUUACGAGCUGUUUACAAGCAAUUUUCAACUUUCUUUUUCUUUCUUUUAACUCCCUGAACGUGACAACGCAGCAGGAGACGAGCUUUCAUUGCUGAGUUUAAGUUGGAGCUUUGACACGUGUGGCGCUAGCUAGCCUACAAUGUGGCACGGCUGUCCGUGGGGUAGUGUCUACGGCGGGGCCGAUCCCGUACCGUUCUAUGCUAACGGCUAUGUGUUCGCCUUGGUGCCGGCGCCUCGGAUGCCCUUGCGUCACAACGCGCUGACUCUGAGUCCAAACCCAGGACUCAGGUGUCCGGACGAUGUGAUUAAAAAAAAGGAAGAGACCAGGAGGCUCCUCUUGGACAGGCGUUUGUUUGAUUUGGUGGAUGCUCAUCCUUAUCUUGAACUAACUGACCCCAAGUUGCUGGGCUGGUACCUUGGUUUGUCUGCAGAGGACAGGACGAUCAUCCAAGCUGACGGAGGACUUCAAAACUUUCUACUAAGACAUCCUGCCUUAGAACUGACUCCGCAUCACGUUUAUGUCAAGGCUAGAAGGGCUCAUAAAGCACCCAGAUCUAUUUUGCCAAGACAGAACCUGAGCACUAAUGGAAUGUCCCCUACAGUGCAAGAGUUGAACGUCUACAGCAAUAAUAUGUGGAAAAAUUCAGCUGUAUCAGACCCUACGAACAGACAGGAUGGGUCACAGAAACAGCCAUGUGAGGAUCCAGGAAUCCCAGGAAGCUUCUGUCUGGACACGGUGCUGGAGAGGUGCAGACCAAGCAGAAAGUCUGAGCACAGGAGCUUUAGGUUAGUGACCCAAGAUCAGACGCCCAACUUCAGCGAGGUCCAUCCAUCACAGUCUGAAUGGUCAACAAUUAAAAACACGUCUCUUACUGAGCUCUCCAGUUCUGACUAUCUCAGAACUACAGAAAAUGGCACAAAGAAAGAGAUUCAGGAUUGUCAGGUCUAUAAUGAGGGCACCAUUAACACAGCUAAUGUAGGCUCGAGUCAGGGGAGGGACAUUUGUACCAUAUUGGAUGAAGACAAGAGCAUCCUUGUUUGUGUUACCAGCGAUGAUCAGAAAACGUACUCGGGUACAGUCUCUCCAAAUGGUGAAACACUAGCACCCAGGAGUGAGCUCUUAGACGGCGGUCAGUCUCUCAACAACAGCUGCUCUGAGGAAAAAGGCCCUUUUCCGCUGCCUCGUGUUUCCUGUGACACAGAGUCUGCACAGUGUGUGUCAGCUUUCACCCAAACCAAUGAUCCAGUAUCAUCAGACAAGCAAAUCAAUACUGAAAUCUGCAUGGCAGAUGUGGACUACGUUGCUGUGGAAUUUCUCAGGCUCAAGAAAACUGAAGAGAAAGUGAAGAAUAAAUGUGACUGCAUGCAGCGCGCUCAACAAGCCGAGCUGUCUCUGCUGAGCCUGCAGUACCGCAUGUGCAGACAGCAUUGUUGGAGUCUCCACUGCGCCGCGGCUGGUGGAAACCAGGGCAGCGCUGAUGGGAAGCAACAUUGUCCAGUGGACCCUCCUGCAGACAUCAGUGCUGUUUUGAACAAACUGGAAUCUGACUAUAAUGAGCUAAGUGGUAGGAUCCUGGAAGGGGUUCCUCUAGAGCAACUGAAGCCUCUGUCAGUCAACUGUGGGAAGAUAACCCCAGCGCCUUACAUUCCUGCACAGGUCAUCGCCAGCAUGCAAGGAAGUGUUCCUCAACCGCCCCAGGAUCUGCAGAGGAACAGAACACCAACAAAUGACUCCCAGAGAGAAACCAAAGAGGUUACCCAGCAGAACAGCUCGGCCAAGAGAGCAGUCCCUGUCGUUCCUCAGGCGAGUGGAGCUCUGUGUGAUGCACAGACACUGGCAGACACUCAGACGGUUGACUGAUCAACCUCAUGGCUCCAGCGUCCACAACUCUGAUGACUGAGCUGACACGGUGCCAUCUGGACCUGGAGGCAGGAGAACUUGGGAGUCCGGGUGGAACUGAGGCCAUGUGCCAAGUUAUGAAGGAUCAGUCCUUUGGUGCCUGGAAUGUUGUGUUAACAUUAAUUUUGUUGCAUGUUGAAAUAGUUUGACAGCAGUUUAUUUCCAAGGCUUUUUUCAGUAACCUGUGUUCAUAUGAAAACAGUAUAUGAAUAUCUUGUUCUAAGGUUGUGUUUAAGGUUGCUCAUGUUGGAUGUGCAGGAAUUUGGUUGUCUGUUAAUAAAAAGUAUGUACAAAAACGCUUUGGUUAUUAU
rnacentral:lncRNA from 1 species